rnacentral:tRNA from 1 species
CCCCAUGUAGCUCAAUGGCUAGAGCGUUCGGCUGUAGACCGAAAGGUUGCUGGUUCAAGUCCGGCCAUGGGGA